rnacentral:rRNA from 1 species
AGUGAACGCUGGCGGUAGGCCUAACACAUGCAAGUCGAACGGCAGCACAGGAGAGCUUGCUCUCUGGGUGGCGAGUGGCGGACGGGUGAGGAAUACAUCGGAAUCUACUCUGUCGUGGGGGAUAACGUAGGGAAACUUACGCUAAUACCGCAUACGACCUACGGGUGAAAGCAGGGGACCUUCGGGCCUUGCGCGAUUGAAUGAGCCGAUGUCGGGUUAGCUAGUUGGCGGGGUAAAGGCCCACCAAGGCGACGAUCGGUAGCUGGUCUGAGAGGAUGAUCAGCCACACUGGAACUGAGACACGGUCCAGACUCCUACGGGAGGCAGCAGUGGGGAAUAUUGGACAAUGGGCGCAAGCCUGAUCCAGCCAUACCGCGUGGGUGAAGAAGGCCUUCGGGUUGUAAAGCCCUUUUGUUGGGAAAGAAAUCCAGCUGGCUAAUACCCGGUUGGGAUGACGGUACCCAAAGAAUAAGCACCGGCUAACUUCGUGCCAGCAGCCGCAGUAA